rnacentral:rRNA from 1 species
GUAGGUGGCAAGCGUUGUCCGGAAUUAUUGGGCGUAAAGCGCGCGCAGGCGGUUCUUUAAGUCUGAUGUGAAAGCCCACGGCUCAACCGUGGAGGGUCAUUGGAAACUGGAGAACUUGAGUACAGAAGAGGAAAGCGGAAUUCCACGUGUAGCGGUGAAAUGCGUAGAGAUGUGGAGGAACACCAGUGGCGAAGGCGGCUUUUCUGGUCUGUAACUGACGCUGAGGCGCGAAAGCGUGGGGAGCAAACAGGGAUUAGAUACCCUGGUAGUCCACGCCGUAAACGAUGAGUGCUAAGUGUUAGGGGGGGGUUCCGCCCCCCUUAGUGCUGCAGCUAACGCAUUAAGCACUCCGCCUGGGGAGUACGGCCGCAAGGCUG